CCUACGGGGGGCAGCAGUGAGGAAUAUUGGUCAAUGGACGAAAGCCUGAACCAGCCAAGUAGCGUGAGGGAUGAAGGCCCUAUGGAUUGUAAACUUCUUUUAUAAAGGAAUAAAGUGCGGGACGUGUGACGUUUUGUAUGUCCCUUAUGAAUAAGGAUCAGCUAACUCCGUUCCAGCAGCCGCGGUAAUACGGAGGAUCCGAGCGUUAUCCGGAUUUAUUGGGUUUAAAGGGAGCGUAGGGGGGCUUUUAAGUCAGUUGUGAAAGUUUGUGGCUCAACCAUAGAAUUGCAGUUGAUACUGGCAGGCUUGAGUACAGUUGAGGCAGGCGGAAUUCGUGGUGUAGCGGUGAAAUGCUUAGAUAUCACGCAGAACCCCGAUUGCGAAGGCAGCCUACCAAGC
rnacentral:rRNA from 1 species